rnacentral:lncRNA from 13 species
CCCCACCUCCGCCUCCCGUGAAGCCCAGAUAGCGCCAAACCCGCCAUCUCUCCAACAGCAGCGAGUACACGCAUUUCCCAGCACCCCCAAAGCACAGAGGGCCCGGCUGGGGGAAGGGAGGGUGCGGUGGCGGUGGUGGGGGAGGUCAGGGUAGGAAUGAACCGCUCAGAUUGUUACUAAAUUGCAUGCCCCACCCCCGCCCCCUUUCCCAACCUCCCCGCUGGCCUGUGCCGCUGCCACGUUUAUUUCUCUUCCCUCUUCUCACAACACAGGACUGGAUGUGGGGUCGGGCCUGUGAUAUAAACAAAACCAAAAAACACUGCCUGGAAAGAAAGUUUUCAGAGGUAACCCACUGA